UUUUUUUACUUUAUUUUUCCAUGAAAUUUAGCAUUGUAACUGCUGUAAAAAUACCAAAACUAUUGCCAUUUGGCUUAGUUAGUCUGUUUCUUAUGUUACCUUUUCUGACAUGGGACACAGACUUCUUUUUAAAUGAGUUUUACUGUGUGAAUUGCUGUGUGUUUGUUUUUUCUACAUUGGCUCCUAGAGGUAUAGGUGUGGGUUGAGAUCUCUCAAACCUGUUUAACCCACUGUAUUUAUGCACCUGUCUCUAGUUAGAAGCCUCUGGCCUUUGUUAGUCUUGUAUGUUUUUUAAUUUUAGUUCAUUUAUAUGUUUUUGAGUUUAGUAUGACAUCCACUUUUACCGAACUAGUACACAUUUUUGUGUAGGGCCUGCUGAAGCCUGCCUCCUGAUGCUGAAUUUUCUGGUUGAGUUGAAGAGCCAUUAGUGGCCUUCGGCUGUUUUCUGCUCUUUGGUUGGGUUGUUGUCUCUGACAUUAUUUUCAAUUUUGUAUAAGAUUCAUAUUUUUUGUUGGAAAAACCAGUCACCAAACCUGUUGUGUGCGGUGGCUCCCUUGUUUCAUUUUUUUAUUUUGACAUUCUGUUCUUUUUAUUAUCUGACCAAGCUGAGCAACCUUCUACUACAAUGGUACCUAUUAAAUGUUGCAUGCAUACAGACCAAAAUGAGGUUAAAUUAUAGUCUUGGAAAAAAAUAAUAAAUAUGCAAAGUUUUUAGCUCAUUUUUACAAAAGACUGCUACCUUAAUGUUUUGUAAGGAUAGCGUUCAUUGACCUAUAAUGGUUUACUUUCAUAAAUUGUUAUUUGGAUGGAGAGUUGUCUCAUUGGCACUCACACCACAUCUUCCUAUAUCUACUUGCUAAUUGCAGGUCAUUACUUCAUUAUUCCACUUUAAUUUAUGUUUAUCAAAAAUGAAGUGCUGUUAUUUAUUGUCUUUUUUUUUAUAGCAAAUGCCUCUUAAUGUAUUUUUUCAAACUUUUAAAAAGUGAAUGGAAGCUGACACAAAUACACAAGAUAAUUAAGUAAUUUUUUUUU
rnacentral:lncRNA from 1 species